rnacentral:rRNA from 1 species
GUCAGGUAGAGAAUACCAAGGCGCUUGAGAGAACUCGGGUGAAGGAACUAGGCAAAAUGGUGCCGUAACUUCGGGAGAAGGCACGCUGAUAUGUAGGUGAAGCGGUUUACCCGUGGAGCUGAAAUCAGUCGAAGAUACCAGCUGGCUGCAACUGUUUAUUAAAAACACAGCACUGUGCAAACACGAAAGUGGACGUAUACGGUGUGACGCCUGCCCGGUGCCGGAAGGUUAAUUGAUGGGGUCAGCGCAAGCGAAGCUCCUGAUCGAAGCCCCGGUAAACGGCGGCCGUAACUAUAACGGUCCUAAGGUAGCGAAAUUCCUUGUCGGGUAAGUUCCGACCUGCACGAAUGGCGUAAUGAUGGCCAGGCUGUCUCCACCCGAGACUCAGUGAAAUUGAACUCGCUGUGAAGAUGCAGUGUACCCGCGGCAAGACGGAAAGACCCCGUGAACCUUUACUAUAGCUUGACACUGAACAUUGAGCCUUGAUGUGUAGGAUAGGUGGGAGGCUUUGAAGUGUGGACGCCAGUCUGCAUGGAGCCGACCUUGAAAUACCACCCUUUAAUGUUUGAUGUUCUAACGUGGACCCGUAAUCCGGGUUGCGGACAGUGUCUGGUGGGUAGUUUGACUGGGGCGGUCUCCUCCUAAAGAGUAACGGAGGAGCACGAAGGUUGGCUAAUCCUGGUCGGACAUCAGGAGGUUAGUGCAAUGGCAUAAGCCAGCUUGACUGCGAGCGUGACGGCGCGAGCAGGUGCGAAAGCAGGUCAUAGUGAUCCGGUGGUUCUGAAUGGAAGGGCCAUCGCUCAACGGAUAAAAGGUACUCCGGGGAUAACAGGCUGAUACCGCCCAAGAGUUCAUAUCGACGGCGGUGUUUGGCACCUCGAUGUCGGCUCAUCACAUCCUGGGGCUGAAGUAGGUCCCAAGGGUAUGGCUGUUCGCCAUUUAAAGUGGUACGCGAGCUGGGUUUAGAACGUCGUGAGACAGUUCGGUCCCUAUCUGCCGUGGGCGCUGGAGAACUGAGGGGGGCUGCUCCUAGUACGAGAGGACCGGAGUGGACGCAUCACUGGUGUUCGGGUUGUCAUGCCAAUGGCACUGCCCGGUAGCUAAAUGCGGAAGAGAUAAGUGCUGAAAGCAUCUAAGCACGAAACUUGCCCCGAGAUGAGUUCUCCCUGAGACUUAGAGUCUCCUGAAGGAACGUUGAAGACGACGACGUUGAUAGGCCGGGUGUGUAAGCGCAGCGAUGCGUUGAGCUAACCGGUACUAAUGAACCGUGAGGCUUAACCUUACAACGCCGAAG